rnacentral:tRNA from 1 species
UGUUAUGUGGCUUAGUUGGUUAAAGCGUCGGUCUAGCGAAUACGGACGUGGGUUCGAAUCACACCACAACAC